rnacentral:rRNA from 1 species
UACGUAGGGCGCAAGCGUUGUCCGGAAUUAUUGGGCGUAAAGAGCUCGUAGGCGGCUUGUCACGUCGGGUGUGAAAGCCCGGGGCUUAACCCCGGGUCUGCAUUCGAUACGGGCAGGCUAGAGUGUGGUAGGGGAGAUCGGAAUUCCUGGUGUAGCGGUGAAAUGCGCAGAUAUCAGGAGGAACACCGGUGGCGAAGGCGGAUCUCUGGGCCAUGACUGACGCUGAGGAGCGAAAGCGUGGGGAGCGAACAGG